rnacentral:rRNA from 1 species
CCUGACGCAGCGACGCCGCGUGCGGGAAGAAGGCCUUCGGGUUGUAAACCGCUUUCAGGAGGGACGAGGCCACUCAGGUUAAUAGCCGAGAGGGUGACGGUACCUCCAGAAGAACGCCCCGGCUAACUACGUGCCAGCAGCCGCGGUAAUACGUAGGGGGCUAGCGUUGUCCGGAUUUAUUGGGCGUAAAGAGCGCGUAGGCGGCUGGGUAAGUCCGACGUGAAAUCUGGAGGCUCAACCUCCAGCGGUCGUUGGAAACUACCCGGCUAGAGUCCGGAAGAGGAGAGUGGAAUUCCUGGUGUAGCGGUGAAAUGCGCAGAUAUCAGGAAGAACACCGAUGGCGAAAGCAGCUCUCUGGGACGGUACUGACGCUGAGGCGCGAAAGCGUGGGGAGCGAACAGGAUUAGAUACCCUGGUAGUCCACGCCGUAAACGAUGGGUGCUAGGUGUGGGCGGUGUCGACUCCGCCCGUGCCGAAGCUAACGCAUUAAGCCACCCCGCCGUGGGGAGUACCGGCCGCAAGGACUA